rnacentral:rRNA from 1 species
GACGAACGCUGGCGGCGUGCCUAAUACAUGCAAGUAGAACGCUGAAGGAGGAGCUUGCUUCUCCGGAUGAGUUGCGAACGGGUGAGUAACGCGUAGGUAACCUGCCUGGUAGCGGGGGAUAACUAUUGGAAACGAUAGCUAAUACCGCAUAAGAGUAGAUGUUGCAUGACAUUUGCUUAAAGGUGCAAUUGCAUCACCACCAGAUGGACCUGCGUUGUAUUAGCUAGUUGGUGAGGUAACGGCUCACCAAGGCGACGAUACAUAGCCGACCUGAGAGGGUGAUCGGCCACACUGGGACUGAGACACGGCCCAGACUCCUACGGGAGGCAGCAGUAGGGAAUCUUCGGCAAUGGACGGAAGUCUGACCGAGCAACGCCGCGUGAGUGAAGAAGGUUUUCGGAUCGUAAAGCUCUGUUGUAAGAGAAGAACGAGUGUGAGAGUGGAAAGUUCACACUGUGACGGUAUCUUACCAGAAAGGGACGGCUAACUACGUG